UACGUAGGGAGCAGGCGUUAUCCGGAUUUACUGGGUGUAAAGGGCGCGUAGGCGGGAUGGCAAGUCAGAUGUGAAAUCCAGGGGCUCAACCCCUGAACUGCAUUUGAAACUGUCGUUCUUGAGUACUGGAGAGGUUGACGGAAUUCCUAGUGUAGCGGUGAAAUGCGUAGAUAUUAGGAGGAACACCAGUGGCGAAGGCGGUCAACUGGACAGCAACUGACGCUGAGGCGCGAAAGCGUGGGGAGCAAACAGG
rnacentral:rRNA from 1 species